CUGCAUGUAGCUAGUGAGUGGUGCAUUAAUUGGACGGUGACAUUGGGCCAGACAAGCGCAGGCUGUUAUUGCUGCUUUUGGUUUUAAUUGCUUGUUUUCUCUUUUUUGUGCUUUGCAUGUGUUUCCAAAAGAAACAACAUAUUCAGAUGCGAACAGUGGGCUAUGCAAGUGGCUGGGAUCCCAAUAAAUCCCAUCAAUUUGAACGGCAGGCGCAGGCUUUUGGUUGCUACUUUUUGUUUUUAAUUCUUUGUUUCAUUUAUAUGCCCUGCGCCUUUAUUAAUUUGACUGUUUGAGGAACAUAUUAAGUGGAGGCGCAGUAGGCCAUGUGUAGUUUGGCCGUGGGUCCCACUCGGUAACUAGUGUAGAAACAGUUUAGUAUAUACUGAAGCCUCUUCAGCAAGCGCAUUUCAUUUUCAUUUUCUUUUUUUUAUUUAUUAAAUAAUCAUUUAAUUCAUUUAUUUGACAAUGUUUAUUUCAUUUUGUUUACUCAUUUUCUAAAACUCAUAAUUCACUCAUUCUAAUUCCAAAAUUCAUGCCAAUUUUUGCAUCAUACUCAUGUGAAUGUCUAGUUUUU
rnacentral:lncRNA from 1 species